rnacentral:rRNA from 1 species
UACGGGGGGGGCAAGCGUUGUUCGGAAUUACUGGGCGUAAAGGGCUCGUAGGUGGCCAACUAAGUCAGACGUGAAAUCCCUUGGCUUAACCUGGGGACUGCAUUUGAUACUGGGUUGCUUGAAUUCGGGAGAGGAUAGCGGAAUUCCCAGUGUAGAGGUGAAAUUCGUAGAUAUUGGGAAGAACACCGGUGGCGAAGGCGGCUAUCUGGACCGACAUUGACGCUGAGGCGCGAAAGCGUGGGGAGCAAACAGG